GCCACUCCAGGGGGAACCAGAGUCACUAACCCCUUGUGUUGAACCUGGGCCCUGAGACCCAUCACCACCUGUCCUCAUGAUCUGCAGGCUCUGGCAGUGUGGCCUGUGGCGGUCAGAACGCUGCCUGGGCCAGCAGGCGGGGCAAACCCAACCCGGGCAGAGGCCUGAACAGGCACCUUCCUGCAGCAUUGGGGGAGGGGCAACCAGAAAACCCUAUCUUCACCCACUGUACCCUGCGCCAGCCUCCUUCCUGACCUUGCCUGAAGUUCCCCCAGUUGUCACCACAAGCAAAGAUCAGGCGCUGUCAUCAAGCUCAGAAGUUGUUUGAAAAGCUAAUCUUGCCUUAGAAGGCGCUGGGGCUGGUUUGAGAGGGCUGGAGUCCUUACAAGAAGAGGAGACUGGGACGCAGACUCCCAUAGACGGAAGAUCAUGUGGGGACGCAGGGAGAAGAUGAAUAGCUACAAGCUGAGGAGAGGCCUCCGAAGCAACCACCCCUGCCAACUUGAUCUUGGACUUGUAGCCUCCAGGA